UACGGAGGGAGCUAGCGUUGUUCGGAAUUACUGGGCGUAAAGCGCACGUAGGCGGCUUCUUAAGUCGGUGGUGAAAUCCUGGAGCUCAACUCCAGAACUGCCUUCGAUACUGGGAAGCUCGAGUCCGGGAGAGGUGAGUGGAACUGCGAGUGUAGAGGUGAAAUUCGUAGAUAUUCGCAAGAACACCAGUGGCGAAGGCGGCUCACUGGCCCGGUACUGACGCUGAGGUGGCGAAAGCGUGGGGAGCAAACAGG
rnacentral:rRNA from 1 species